rnacentral:rRNA from 1 species
UAGGGAAUCUUCCGCAAUGGACGCAAGUCUGACGGAGCAACGCCGCGUGAGUGAAGAAGGAUUUCGGUUCGUAAAACUCUGUUGUUAGAGAAGAACAGCGCAUAGAGUAACUGUUAUGCGUGUGACGGUAUCUAACCAGAAAGCCACGGCUAACUACGUGCCAGCAGCCGCGGUAAUACGUAGGUGGCAAGCGUUGUCCGGAUUUAUUGGGCGUAAAGCGAGCGCAGGCGGUCAAUUAAGUCUGAUGUGAAAGCCCCCGGCUCAACCGGGGAGGGUCAUUGGAAACUGGUUGACUUGAGUGCAGAAGAGGGGAGUGGAAUUCCAUGUGUAGCGGUAAAAUGCGUAGAUAUAUGGAGGAACACCAGUGGCGAAGGCGACUCUCUGGUCUGUAACUGACGCUGAGGUUCGAAAGCGUGGGUAGCAAACAGG